rnacentral:rRNA from 1 species
AGUGAACGCUGGCGGUAGGCCUAACACAUGCAAGUCGAACGGCAGCACAGGAGAGCUUGCUCUCUGGGUGGCGAGUGGCGGACGGGUGAGGAAUACAUCGGAAUCUACUCUGUCGUGGGGGAUAACGUAGGGAAACUUACGCUAAUACCGCAUAGGACCUACGGGUGAACGCAGGGGACCUUCGGGCCUUGCGCGAUUGAAUGAGCCGAUGUCGGAUUAGCUAGGUGGCGGGGUAAAGGCCCACCAAGGCGACGAUCCGUGGCUGGUCUGAGAGGAUGAUCAGCCACACUGGAACUGAGACACGGUCCAGACUCCUACGGGAGGCAGCAGUGGGGAAUAUUGGACAAUGGGCGCAAGCCUGAUCCAGCCAUACCGCGUGGGUGAAGAAGGCCUUCGGGUUGUAAAGCCCUUUUGUUGGGAAAGAAAUCAGCUGGCUAAUACCCGGUUGGGAUGACGGUACCCAAAGAAUAAGCACCGGCUAACUUCGUGCCAGCCGCCGCCGUAA